GGAGGGAUGGCCGAGCGGCUUAAGGCGCACGCCUGGAAAGUGUGUUCACCGAAAGGUGUCGUGGGUUCGAAUCCCACUCCCUCCGCCA
rnacentral:tRNA from 1 species